UACGGAGGAUCCAAGCGUUAUCCGGAUUUAUUGGGUUUAAAGGGUGCGUAGGCGGCCUAUUAAGUCAGGGGUGAAAGACGGUAGCUUAACUAUCGCAGUGCCUUUGAUACUGAUGGGCUUGAAUGUACUUGAGGUAGGCGGAAUGUGACAAGUAGCGGUGAAAUGCAUAGAUAUGUCACAGAACACCGAUUGCGAAGGCAGCUUACUAUGGUAUGAUUGACGCUGAGGCACGAAAGCGUGGGGAUCAAACAGG
rnacentral:rRNA from 1 species